UUAUGUGAUCGUCUCUCGCAUAUCAAUAAGCGGAGGAAAAGAAACUAACAAGGAUUCCCCUAGUAACGGCGAGUGAAGCGGGAAGAGCUCAAAUUUGAAAUCUUAAAGGGUUUCCCUUUACGAAUUGUAGUUUAAAGAAGUGUUUUCUGUUGAGGUUUUGGUAAAAGUUCUUUGGAAUAGGACAUCAUAGAGGGUGAGAAUCCCGUAUUUGACCUUUACUUUCAACUUUGUGAUACACUUUCAAAGAGUCGGAUUGUUUGGGAAUGCAGUCCAAAAUGGAUGGUAAAUUUCAUCUAAAGCUAAAUAUUGGCGAGAGACCGAUAGCGAACAAGUACCGUGAGGGAAAGAUGAAAAGAACUUUGAAAAGAGAGUUAAACAGUACGUGAAAUUGUCAAAAGGGAAGCGUUUGACACCAGUGUUGUUUUUCUGAAAAUCAAUUAAAGAACUGUUUAUGCUAAGUUGUUUAGACUUUAUCAGCUAACUGUUUAGUUUUGAGCUUUUCUUUAAUGCACUUUUCAGUUAACAAGUCAACAUCAAUUUCUUUUGCUGUAAAAAAGCUUGAGGAAGGUGGCUUGAGAUUCGUCUUAAGUGUUUAUAGCCUCUUGCCUAUGCAGUCGGAGAGAUUGAGGUCUGCAGCGUAGAUCCUUCGGGGCUAAAUGCAUUUGCGCUAAGUUAUAGCAUUUUAUAGACAACUUGUUGACUAUGAUUUGUCUUGUAGCUUACUCGCUCAUGUUAUUUUACCUACGCUUAGGAUGUUGAGUAGCGACAUACGCAC
rnacentral:rRNA from 1 species